UGGAGCAUAAGAGUCAAACCGUUGGUAUAACUGUUGAAACAUUUAUUAAAAAAAAAAUUCACAGUUUGCAUAACUGUUGAAAUAGGAUCGGUCUCUCGCUCUCUCUCUCUCUCUAUCGAUCUCUCUCUCUGAAUUUUGAGCUUCGCUGUUCUCUUCUUCGAGUCGCUUUGAAUUCUAAUCUCUCACUUUUCUAGGGUUUCUCUCUCUCUCUCUCUGUGAUUUGAUUUUUAUUUAUUUUUGGUUUCAGGCGGAUUCCACUGAAGAUUUCGAGCCAUUGUUCGAUUACUCUCGAGUUCAGCCUCUCAAUUUCGUGUCCCUCAACGGAGGAUUAAAUUGAAGCAAAUCGAACCGUGAUAUUUGAAGUUUAAACACUUCGUCUCCUCGCUCGACACCUCGUCGUCUCCCACCGCCUCCAUUUCCAACUUCAUCAAACGACGCUACGUCAAAGUCAAGUCCCCUAAAUCCUCCUCCUCUCGCUCAACCAAAACCUCCUUCUCCUCCUCUCUUCCCAUCCUCAACCUUGACCCUCUCUCUGAUUCUGAGGACUCGACGAAGCAGUUGUCCAGGGAGAUAUCUUCUAUAUUGUCCGGUAUGUGUUUGUGAAAUUUACUCUGAGAGUUUUAAAUUGUUUAAAGUUUUAAAAUUUUUGGGGGUCCUUGAUUUUGAGAUAACGGAUUACUUUGAAAGUGGAAGUUUGAAUUUUUAUAAGGAUUUCGUAACCUGGGUAGUUGUACACUUGUACUCUGUUGUAGCUAUGCUAUUUUAUUUGAGAAAUUCACUUACUCAGCUAUGGCUCAAAUAGUUAAAUGGUACUUCUUUCGUUUAAAUAAGUUGUGGGUUUAAGAUCCAUUGGGUGUCUGUGUAACUUAAAAAUGUAAGUAAGAAUGUCCAUUUUCUAGGGAAACAAGGUGAGCUUAUUAAGAAUUCUCUUUUGGGUUUAGUUUCAUUAGGUUGACAACGUGAAAGAAUCUAGGAGAGUUAAUUUUUUCCAUGUGAUUGUGAUAUAUUUCUAAAUUACUUCCCUGAAAAUUACGGGAGCUAGAAGAAGAUAAGAAUUUGGUAAUUUCGUUAUGACUGCCAUCCUAUUUGGGUCGAUUGGCUGCAUUUAAUGUUUUAGCCAACAAAUUUAAAGAAACGAAAUAUGUCGUCGUGGGUGAAAAGGCAAAGGCUCAAUUCAUGCGUGACUCCAGGAAGCACAUUGAUAUAUCCAUAACUGAGUUGCAGAAGAAUCCUCUAAAUUAUACACAGGUUAGUCUUUUUCUUGUUUGUUUGAAUAUAUGUGCGUGUGAAAUUCAAAAGGAUUUUCUAAUUUUAACAAAUAUAUUGAAAGCUUGAAGUUAUCUAUCAAUGAAAUGAAGUGGUGAAUGCUAGAAGUGUGGUUACAGAUCCGUUCAUCUGGUCAACAAGGUUUUUCUGGCUUUAGGUCUUGUAACGUGAGGCCUUCUGAAUGCGAGUUUAAUUUAAAUUAAAGCAUUAUCAGAAUUUGAUGUCUUCAUUAAGCCGUUGACUUAAGCUUAUGCUUAUCCUCUUUAGUUCCUGCCAAUUUUGUUAGCCGAUCCGUAAAAUAAUUUGUAAUUGCAAAAAGACCUUCCCCAAUUUUGAUGAUUUGUUUUUUGCUUAUUUGAAUUAAAUCCUAUGGUAUUUACAAAUACGGAAGUCCUUAUGUAUAUAUAUAUAUAUUUUUUUUUAAAAAAGUGAAACAAGAAAUUGGAGAGCCUUGAAGUAAGACCAUCAUGGUUUGAGAUUAUUUUUUAAGUCAAUGAAUUGUUUUUUGGUUAAAUCACAAUGGGCAGGAAUUGGGUAAUUGAUUAAGGCUAUUGCAAGUUCAACUUACAGAACUACAAAAGAGACUGAGUUGCACCUUUGGGGAUUUUGGUUGUUAAAGUAUUGCCUUUGCAUUAUGAGGUGCACCUUUUGAAUUUGAACCCAUGAUCCUAUUGAAGAUCAUGGGUUCAAAUUCAAUACCCACUUAGUGCAAUGUACAUCUUUUUCCUGCUUUCACUACAAAGGUUCCAUCUAGGAAAAAAUAUUCUUGUCCAUUAAUUUCAUUUAAAUUGUGUGCCAUAUUCAAAUUAUUUUUUAUAAUUAAAAAAAAAAAAAAUCUAAUUGGUUCAUUGUUUUUGUUUCUUUGUACAGGAAAAUUUCUGGGAGAUGGGUGAUACAUGUCCUUGUGGACCUUGCACUGAAAUACAUUAUGAUAGAAUUCAUAUCAUAAUAGGGAAAGUGAUGAUUCUUUAAAACCCCUGCCUGCUAAGCAUGUUGAUACGGGCAUGGGUUUCAAAAGUAGAAAAAUAUACAACCUGAUAGCUGCUCGUAGGAGGAUCUCCAAAUACAGGUUUUAGCUUAUUUGGAAAACUAAAGGAUAGUUUGAACAAGCUGAUGAAGAAUGAUCUUGCCUAAUCAUUGAUGGUAGAAAAGAUACAAUCUGAUAGCUGCCCGUAGGAGGAUCUCCAAAAACAAGGCUUAUUUGGAAAACUACAGGAUAGUUUGAACAAGCUGAUGAAGAACAGUUAGUUCAGUUGAAGACAAUGGUCUUUGUGCAACUACAUUUCACUAUUUAAAAAUAUUUUGUUUAACAAAUUUGUAGUAAAUUGUUAUGUAUUUUUUAGAUGAUGUUCUUAGAUGCUUGAGUAAUUGUUUUAAGUGUUUAAUAUUUUAUGUUAUUCUUCAUCUUCCUUA